rnacentral:ncRNA from 1 species
CUUGGAAGAAUUUUUGAAGGAGAAGUAGUUAAGGACAUUGAGGUCAACGGUAAUUGGGACAAAAUACAACAUGGUUUUACAAAAGGUAGAUCGUGUCAAACCAAUCUGAUCUCCUUCAGAGCCUGUGGAUGGUGUGAGGCUGGCAGCAGCCCUAGGCAUACCAGGAUUGGGUCUUCUCAAAGUCAGGUUGCCUGGGAAUGCAGCAAAGUGAGUGGUAAACACCAUUUAAUGCUAAAUAUUGGCAUGAGACUGGUAGCGAAGAAGUACCUUACAGGAAAGUUGAAAAGUAUUUUGAAGAGAGAAUUAAAGAGGGAGAGGAGAGCCACUGUCUUAAUAAAACCUCCAGUAAUGGAG